GGGUACACUAAUGGUCCGGGCUUCUUUGCUCCAUACCGGUCAGUCCGGUACCAUUUGAAAGAAUGGGCGGCUAAUGGAAAUAACCCACAAACUCCAAGAGAGUUAUAUAAUCUGCGACAUGCAUCAGCUAGGAAUGUGAUAGAGAGAACUUUUGGUCUACUAAAAAUGAGAUGGGCUAUUUUGGGGACUAGUUCAUUUUUUCGCAUACGGAAUCAGAUCCGUGUCAUUAAUGCUUGCUGCAUAUUGCAUAACUUUCUAAGAGAUAGGCAGAGAGAGAUGGAUGAUAUAAUGCUAAUUGACGUGGAUAAUCAGUUAAAUGCUGCUGCCAUCGAACAUCCUGAAGAACCAAACAUGAUUAGACAUGUUGAAUCAACAACUGAGUGGAACAACAAGCGAGAUACCUUAGCUAAUCAAAUGUGGGCAGAUUACCAAAGGAGACGCGGGGGAGCCAAUCAUUGA
rnacentral:rRNA from 1 species